GGCUACGGCCAUGCCACCCUGAACAAGCCUGAUCCUGUCUGAUCUUAGAAGCUAAGCAGGGUCGGGUCUGGUUAGUACUUGGAUGGGAGACCACCAAGAAGACCAGGUGCUGUAGGAA
rnacentral:rRNA from 1 species